CGGGAUGUAGCUCAGAUGGCUAGAGUGCGGCGUUCGGAACGCCGAGGUCGUGAGUUCAAGUCUCACCAUCCCGA
rnacentral:tRNA from 1 species